AGUUGUGUUAUACCUUAACUGCACGCGGACCCAACUGUUGUUGAUAACGCCGAUGUACCUGAGCUGUAAACCGAAUUAAACUUAAGGCAUUUUUAUUUUUCAUGAGUUCUGCUUCCAAACACGUAAAUACUUUUUGCACGAACAGAAAUAGCAGAAACUAUUUAAAUGCACGUUUAGUGAGCGUAUUCAUUAAGCUUAUGAAUGGUUCGUUUGGUUCUAUCAGUCACCUCCUCGUGUAGUGAUCCAUGAUUAUGGGAACUGUAUGCAACGAGGUGCCCUAAGGCAAAUUAUACCAAUAUUACUCAACUACUGAACGCUACUGAAUGUAUCGUAUAUAAAUGGCUGUAAAGUAGGUACUUCGCUUUGCUCUUCGAUUUGAUUUGGAUCGGUAGCACGCAAUGACCGAUAAAGACAAUUGAUGGUAGUUAUACAAACGUACAAUGUGUGGGUUGUGCUAUGGUUGUGACCGUUGUGGCUCUAAGGAGCCUAAGGAGAGUGACAUAUGAGUUGGAAAUGUUUCUGGUAGGACUAAUGCAGUUAGACAGUGUCAGCAGUUUUUAAUUUACCUCGUGAGAAAUUAUGUAAACACUGUAAGAAAGAGAUUAUUGGAAGGAAAAUAUGUCUAUAUUAUCAGGACUGGAUGCAGCCUUACAUGAGCUCGGAAUGCUGAGUGCUGUAACAGAAAGCAGGCAGGAUUAUUUGCGAGAGCAGAAGCAAUGUUACCGUAUUCCUAACCAGCCUGCUCCCAAUGAGUUUUACAUGAAUACCCGCUAUAGGACAAGUGGGGCCAUUCAUCAACAUAAAUACACCAUAGUGCGACACAAGCCCUAUACAGUGCCAUGCUGGGGUCGAGAAGAGAGGACUCGCACAAAGAGUGAAAACUCUGAUGUGGAUUUGGAUAGCCAUUAUGGAAUUGCUCUAUCCUCAGUUUCUGCCCAGCUACUUGAAGUCAGUAAUCUUCACAAAUCUCGAUCCAUGGAAAGUGUUACUAUAAAUGUGUCUGAUGAUGAAAGUGCCUCUCCACCACUGCAUGAGGUCGAGUCUGUUUCCAGCAAAAUACAGCAACUGCAGGUUAAGGAAUGAAUAGGCAGCUGUAUGUUUUGUAUUCACAACUGUGAUCCAUUAUGAUAUAAUUCACUGUGGGCCAUCUUGUGAGGGUUGUAUUUCUUGAUGGUACAAUUCUGCUUUUAGAUGUUUCUUUGGAGGAAAAUGACAUACUGCUAUGGAGUCUCGAAUUUCUAAAGUAUUUAUUAUAUGAAUUUGUCAGGCCAUUUGGCAUUGAAUAUACAGGGUGUAGCUGAAAGGUGUGGACAAACUUUGGGCACAAGUUCCACGUACCAAACAAGAAAAAAUGUCCAUAUCAACAUGUGUCCAGAACAUUUAAUUUGUAAGUUGUGCUGAAAGAGUAAAAUUAUAUUAAGUGCUCAAAAUGUCUUCCAUAAGAUUCAGUGCAUGCUUUGACAUGUCUUAUCAUGGAUCAAUGCAUCCCUUCAGAGAUUCUGGUGUAGUUGCAGAGAGUCUGACAGACAUUCACAAUGCAGUGGUGAAGUGCCUCUUCAUUAUCAACAGGAUCUGCACACACAAGGGUCUUUAGGUGUCCCUACAGAUAAAAAUCCAGUGGAUUCAAAAUCUGGCAAGCGUGAAGGCCAUGCAGAGGGUCCUCCUAUACCUAUCCCUCACAUGAGAAGUGUUAAAAUGUGCCAGAGCACCAUCAUGCAUUUUUUCAGGUAUAACUCACAAAGUAAAUGUUUAUGGACAUGUGUUAAUGUGAACUUUUUUCGUGUUUUGGUAUGUGGAACUGGUGCCCAAGGUUUGUCCUUACCUUUUAAUUACAAUGUGUAUAGUGAAUUUAUUUUAGGCCAUAAUGCAAGUGAUAAACCACCUGAGUGGAAAAGACGAGAUGCUCUUCCUCUCAAAUCAGAGCACUGCGACCCAGGCUGGUAGUGGAACUGACAUACCUACAGCUCAAACAUACUUAAAAUAAAACUUACCCAGAUUAGCCCACAGGAGAUGCUAGAAAUGCACACCACAUUCUUUAUACUUCCUUAAUAAGUUCAUAUUCACACAUUAAAAUUUUUAUUGUAGAAUAGAGUAAACUUUAAAAUUGAAAACCCAGUUUCCUAUGCAAGACAUCUGAGGGACUUUCAAAGAAAGUGUUCAUUUGGUGUGUGUGUGUGUGUGUGUGUGUGAGUGAGUGAGUGAGUGAGUGUAGUUAUGACCCUCCAGUCUUUUUACUUUUCUUGCAGAAACACUUUUCAUGUAGAUACCAUUUGUGAACAUUGAUUGUUUAACUAGGUAUUUAACAUGUGACAUUUUGACACAGGAGAUGACACACCUGCGUAAAUGAUUGCUUAUCAGAUUUGUCUGCCACAUAAUGUAUAAGAUUACUUCACAGUAACUCUUAUGAUCUGCUGGGUCAACAUUGAAGAGAGGCUGGAAUUGGUGCUAGGUUAGAAAAUUCCCUUGACAGCAGCAAGAACAGAAGCAUUUCUAGUAUUUGCUAUAUUCUGGGUAAGUUUUCACUGUAAUGUAUUUUCACUAGCAGUCCCGAUCUCCUCAGCUCAACUUGGUUGGAGAGAACCAUCUGAUUCUUUCUCCUGAGUGGUCCAGUGAUUUAUAUGAAAUUUUAAAAUAAUCCAUUGUACUUGUUUCAUUAAAUUGAAAUAAGAAAAUUAUUAAAAACUUGGACCAAAUUGUAUUGAAAGGGAUAUUGUUUCUGUGUAUGAUUUUUCCUUCUCUGACUCUGCUGGCUUUGGAGCAAUUUUAGGACUGUUAUAAUAUAACUGGCCUGUGUGAAUUGGUGUUAUGUUUCUAAACAUGGAAAUGUGUAAGGAUUUACAAUUUAAUAUUCAGGCUUUUCAAGUGUAAAGUUGACUCUAUUUGGUGCAGAAAAUUAGGGUGCCAACAUUGUGUCUGUAACUAAUUUUACCGGAGAUAAUGUAUUACAAUUUCUGUUUCCAGAUUUGCAUAUUGUGAUAAUCCUUGUAUAUGUACUUGUGUGUCUACUAUUGCUAAUGUGUUGAAGGGCAACACAUACCUGAAUGGAGUGCACAUUUUGUAUAGUAUUGUAUAGUAUAUGAUAGCACUUGGAUACAAGGGUAUGUAAAGAAAUGCAGCACUUGACAAAUCCUAGGUACUGGGUUGUCAUGAUGCCUUGAAAUUACAUUCUGGCACCUUCAUUUUUCAUUAUUAUUGUGUCACAUUUUAUUGAUGUAAGUAUUCAAUAUAUUUUAUAGCCAUUCUAAAAUAUAGAGGUGGUGCAUAACUCUGGAUGAAAUUUGCUGAGAUCUGGAAAAAAUGUUAACAUAUGGUGAUGUUUUUUAUUUCUUUUGCUUGGAAUAUUAUGCAGUUUGAUUGAGAUAUUCUUGAGUAUGCAAUAUUGACCAUGCACUAUACAUAACUUGGGAAUGAUGGGGGAAUUUGUUUAUAAGAACUAUUUGGACUCUUUGGGGGUAGUAUGCAUUAUGAUUGCAAUUAAGUAAUGUUUGAGCCUUGAAUGAAGCUUUUGAAAAGAAAUAAUAAUUAUAAUUUAAAUACACACACAGAAAAUAAUGUGUUAGAGUACAGCAGUACAAAGUAGGAAAAUGAAAGUCCCCAUAGCAUGAAGGCAUAUAGACUGUAUAGGUAUAACACCACAGAUUCACAGUCCUAGCACUAAAUGAGGGUUCACAUUUUCCUGUACCUGCAUCCUUGUGAAAAUUCCCUAUCCAUUACCAUAAUGCAUAUUAGAUAAGAGAGUAGGAGUGUUUCAGCCAUUUUGGACCUGUGGGUCGGCAGCGAUAGGACUAACAGUAAUAUUAACACAGACUGGAUACUAUUUGUGGAGCACAAACCACUUUGUACAAAAUCGCCAACUUAAUUUAUACAGUAGAAUAGAAUAGAAUAUAUGAGGGGUAGGCCUUCUCGGCCCUUGCACCGCGACCUUAGGUCUGUUGUGCUUCCCAUUUUUUAAUUAUUCCCUCAGCAACCCCACGCUUCGGAUGAAGCACAGGAUUUUGGAUGUGGGGAUGGCAGAAUAGUCACUUGGUUACAUAAUAAUUUUUACAGUAACUGGUAAAUAAAAAGCAUGCUAUUCCAAAUCGGUUCUUUAAUAUGCAGAGACAGGGCAUAUGAUGAAUUUGUGUAAAUAAAUGUGUGUAUGAUUUUCAUAAAAUUGUACAUCUAAUAAAACUGUAUUUAUUUACUGUUUAGUAGUAUGAGCAUAUGAGUAACAUAUUGCUCCACACUACUUUACAUUCAUAUAUAUGCCAAGUACUGUAGCCGCUCGCUGACAUACAGUUGCCACGACUGUCGCUCAAGCUUGGUUCUUUGUCUCAGGGAUACUUGUGCUUCGGAUAUGGGAGUGGAACACACUUUGGAGUUAAUGAAUCACGGGGUCUCCAGAACACACCUUGUAUUAUUGUCUCCAUUAAUAUUGCUUACAGCGAUAGUACAUAUUAUGUUAGUCCUCCAAGCUAGCCUCUCCAUCUCUUUUAACUUUUGGCAGUGGCCACACCAAUUUGCUCCCAGCUCGCCAACCGUACACACUCACUAACCCCGACUGUCCCCUAAUGCUCUCUUCAGCGGCUUCUUUCAAGUACAGUCCACCUCCGCCGUUACUACCACAGACUGUAAUCCAAUUCUCUGUUCAACGACUUCUUUCAACUAUAGUCCACCUCCACUGUUACUACCACAGACUGUAAUCCAAUUCUCUGUUCAACGGCUUCUUUCAACUACAGUCCACCUCUGCUGUUACUAUCACAGACUGUAAUCCAAUUCUCUGUUCAGUGGCUUCUUUCAACUACAGUCCACCUUCGCUGUUACUAUCACAGACUGUAAUCCAGUUCUCUGUUCAGCGGCUUCUUUCAACUAGUUACAGGUUAUUCACUCUCAACAGACAUGAAUCGUCUGACAAUAUAGCGCUAUACUCAGGAAAGUACUACAGCCAUGAUACACAUGUAAGCACACUACUGUAAACUGACAUUCAAGGCAACAACAUCUCUACAAAGAGAACACUGCUCCAAUUGUCAACCAAGAGUUAAGCAUAUUUAUGCAACACUGUGCACUUACAUGCAUUCUUAUCUCUUUAUAAACACAGUCCAUAAUUUUCAUACUUGAAAGACUCUCAGUAAAAAUCUUUCCUCAGGGCAUACACAAUCAAUAUUCACAUACUGAAACCAGUGGUUCAUCUUUUCAUAACUGGGCACUUAUCCGAAUUAUACUAAAAAGUAACAAUGGGAAAUUACGACAAAAUUAACUUAUCUGGCUUGAUAAUACUGUGAUACUCCAUAACCUCUGUUCGUUAUCAUUACCAUAACUCUUGCAUGAUAUUUAUCCCCAUGCCCCGUUACUGGCACUCAUACAAUCGGCAGAUUUGUCAAAGGUUAAGAGGGGUCGACUUUGUCCUAAGGGCUGUAUUACAGAUUGGCCCACGGGCAUCACUUCCUCGUAUUCAGGCCGAGUCAGAUGACUUAGCGGUCCUGAACUCCUUUAGUGAUUUC